AGCUGCGGCCGCAGCGGCGGCGGCGGGCAUGGCAGAGGCUCGGUCCCAGCCCUCGGCGGGGCCACAGCUCAACGCGCUACCGGACCACUCGCCGUUGCUGCAGCCGGGCCUGGCGGCGCUGCGGCGCCGGGCUCGGGAAGCCGGCGUCCCGCUCGCGCCGCUGCCCCUCACCGACUCCUUCCUGCUGCGGUUCCUGCGCGCCCGGGAUUUCGAUCUGGACCUGGCCUGGCGGGCUGGAGGGCAAUGGCGUGAUCUCAGCUCACCACAACCUCUGCCUCCGGGG
rnacentral:sRNA from 1 species